GCUGGGGAUGGGACUGCUCAGCUUCGAUCAGGUCAGGCAUAUCGAGAUGGUGACCCCGUCCCAGCUCCUCGGGCUUCUGCUCCUCUGGAUCCCGGAGUCGAGAGGGCAGAUUGUACUGACCCAAACUCCGGAAUCUUUGGCCAAGGCUCCAGGAGAGUCAGCCACCAUCAAAUGUAAAGCCAGUUCCAGUGUUAGUAGUUAUCUGCACUGGUACCAGCAGAAACCUGGACAAGCCCCUAAGCUGAUCAUUAAGCAGGUCACCACCCUGAUGCCUGGGAUCCCGGCCCGGUUCAGUGGCAGUGGUUCUGGGACAGAUUUCACUCUCAGCAUCAAUAGUGUGGAAGCUGGUGAUGCUGCAGACUAUUACUGUCAGCAGAGUAACAGCUGGCCUCUUACUUUCGGCAAAGGGACCAAACUGGAGAUCAAACGUAGAGAAAAUGCCAGGCCAUCUGUUUUCAUCUUCCACCCAUCUGAGGAGCAGCUGACCCAGGGCUCAGCCUCCAUCGUAUGCUUGGUGAACAACUUCUACCCACAAAAUGCCAAAGUCCAGUGGAAGUUAGACAACAAGCCCACUGAAUCGGGGGUCCUGACCAGCACCACGGCCCAGGAUUCCAAAGACAGCACGUACAGCCUAAGCAGCACGCUGUCUCUUAGCAAGGCCGAAUACGAGAAGCACAACCAGUAUUCCUGUGAGAUCACUCAUGAAACUCUGACGUCACCCCUCGUCAAGUCCUUCCAAAGGAAUGAGUGUUAAAGUCAGGGGCCUCCAGGGGAUGUGCCAGCUCCCCACUCUUUGCCCUUUCCUCCCCAUUUCAAUGCCUCCUCUUUCUCCCUAUUGAGAAAACUAUUGUUCUCCUGUUCAGGAGUGUGUGCUCCAGUCGGGAGCGGGGAUCUUUCCUGGUCUUCAGGUUGCUCAGUACCCUGUGGAAGAGCCACCCUGUGGCCUAGCCAUUCUUCUCCUUCAUCCUUUUCUGCUUUUAUCAUGUCAAUAUUGGAAAACUUUAAUAAAGUGAAUGAAAAGGC